rnacentral:lncRNA from 1 species
GUUACGUUAAAGCCAGGAACCAAAUGCUACUUCUGCUUCCACUGCCCUCGUGUUAGUCCACUUGUACACGCAGAAAAUUUCCACUUCAUCGCCUGUGGUCUUUCAAGACUGUCGGGGGCAGUGGUAGAAUUUAUGCUUCGGUAUCAGCUGCAACCCCUUUGCCAACUAGGCCUGAUGAUCUCGUCACAUCCAUUGAUUCCAAGGUACCCUUUUUGUUUAAGAUUUGUUGAUUUUGGAGAAAUAACUUAUUCCAUAUAUCAAUUCAUAAACGUGUGUUACAUAUAUAUACAUAGAGUUUAUGUUUCUCGUAAGGAAACAAUCCUAUCAAAAUAAGAAAAAUUCUAAACUUAUGCACCUACGGUAUAUACAUGUACUAUAUAUGUACAGAAUAAAUAUAAAUCUAAAGUGAUGCAUAAUUUCAUAACACUCCCCCUCUGGAGCAUAGAUAUCAAUCAUGUCAAGCUUGUUACAAAUAUAGUUUACUCGAGUUUCGACUAAGGCCUUUGUGAACACAUCAGUUAAUUGAUUUCCUGUCUUGACAUGUUUGGUCGAAAUCAAUCAUUUUUGUAGCUUUUCACAAACAAAAUGACAAUCUGCCCUUAUAUGCUUUGUCCUCUCAUGAAAUUCUGGAUUAGUGGUAAUGUGAAUAGCUGUUUGAUUAUCACACCACAAGUUCAUAGAGUGAGACGUAUCAAUGCCAAUUUCUCCAAGUAAGUGAAGUAGCCAUAUAAGUUCACAAGUCACCUGUGCCAUAGGCCAAUAUUCAGAUUCUGCAUUUGAUCGAGCUAUAACACUUUGUUUCUUACUUUUCCAAGAGAUUAGAUUACCUCCAACGAAAACACAAUACCGUGUAGUAGAGCGCCUAUCAACGAGAGAACCUGCCCAGUCAGCAUCCGAGAAACCCUCAACCCCACAAUGACCACGGUCUCUGUAACAUCCUGAAAAUUUUAGAAUAAAACUUAAUUAUAUUAUUCGUUAUAUUGUUAUAAAUAAUAAUAAUAAUAAUAAGGACCAAGAUGAAAUAGGUUUUUGAAUUCAUAUUUUAUUUUGGGUCAAAUAAUUGAAUUUUGGUAGAGUGAGUGUAAGUAUAUCAAUAUUGUACUCGUUGGAUAGUUUGCAAUUAAUUAUGCAUUUUAUCCUCGAGAAAAAGUUAAUUUGGAUAAGUUAGGACCAAGAUAUUAUAGUUUUAAAUACGUAAGCUUUGUUAUUAAUUGAGUUGGUAAGCAAUAGUAUUUUAAAUAAUAUAUAGUCACGUGUAACUUCCUUGCUUUUGAUUAGGAUUAAAAAGCUAAUUGAUAUUUAAUUAAAACUCCAACAUGAUUUCCCUUAUUAGUUAGUUAAAUUAGGAUUUGGAGUCAACCACAAUUCAAACGAGAAUUUAUGUGAUUUCCUACUGUAAGCUGUCCACCUUUUUUUGCUCUCGAUUGAUAGAGAAUAAAUACUAUCUUUCUGGAAAUUAAAUACGAGUUUGAUUAUUUAACUAUUUAAAUUGUUUGUUGCAUCUAUAUAAUCAUGAUUAUCUAUAAUGUGGAAAGUUGAGGGAUUAAGAUGAUAUAUAUUUUGGGUCAAAUAUUUGGAAUUUGAUAAGAUGAUAAGUAUAUCAACAUUGGGCUCUUUGGGUAGCUAAUAUUUAAUUAUGUAUAUUAGGCUUGAUAAAAAAUUAAUUUAGAUAAAAAAAAAAAAACAAAUCAAGUAAUGGCCAAUGAAAGAAAGUUAUGAUUAAAUGAAAUAUUUUAAAUGCAUUAUCCUCUUUGGUUAAACAGGUGACGACAAUUGAGAUAAGGACGGAUUUUAAUCUUAAUUAUACUUAAUCUAAACUCUAUUGUUUAAAUUCCUAAUGUUAUUAUACGUGGCCAAACCCAGUUUCAUUAUAUUUAGGCUUAUCACCAAUUUUUUUGAUCAAUUUAAUUAGCAAAAGAUUAUAAUAUAUGAUCACGUUUAUCGUUAAUCUGAUAUAGAUUGAAUUAUAUCCAAAUUUAUAUAUAUAAUUCCCACCUUGAACCAUGUUUCACGUGUAGGAAAAAAAUGUUAAUAGUUAUCCUAUAGUUUUUACUUUGAUAACAAUUAGCAGUUGAUGGUUAAUAGUUAUCCUAUAUUCUUGGUAAAAAUUAAAAGUCAAAUGGUAAUCCUAUAAGGUUUAGACUUCACUGCUACGAAUCUAAACUAGUCUUCAAAUUCAACCUCACGUGUCAUUAUGAUUAUUAUGAGUUAAUAUGAAAGUACUAUCCAAAUAUUUAAACCUAGAUUUAUCCAAAUUUGACUAGUAGUUCACUGCCUCUCAAUUUCCAAUGCACCAGGACUUUUUUGUUUAAAGUAUAAAUAUCAUGUAUAACUGUAUAAGUCAAGUCUUCUCACAUAUUUUUCAAAGCAAAAAACAAUUCUCCAUCAAUAAAUACGUUUGAGGCAGUUGAGGAACUUUGGAAAUUGGAAUAUUCUCUUGGAUUAUUCUUUCAAAAAUUCUUCAAUCUAACGAGGUAGGAUACUAUGUGCAAGUUGUUUUGUCCUUUCAAUACUGUAAUUUUUGACGUAAUUUAUUUCAUGAAAUGCUAAUUGACCUGCGGAUCGCUAUGAAAUGAAAUGAAAUGUGAGAUCUCCUUCGAGUCUUCUCAAAUAUGUUAGAGUAUUCGAUUGAUCACCGAUUGCUCUUGAUGAAAUGAUGGUAUGAAAUGUUGUAAAUUCAUGUUUUAAAAGUUAUUAUAUUAUUUGGACACACGUAUCCUACUGAGUAUAAAUUACUCAUUCCUUUAGUUUUAACAUUUCAGGUAAGAUUGGUCGACGUGGAUGGUGGCUGAGGUGUGCGCAGGUUGUCAAGUAAAAGAAAUUUUUU